AUUGAACGCUGGCGGCAGGCCUAACACAUGCAAGUCGAACGAGUGGCGGACGGGUGAGUAACGUCUGGGAAACUGCCUGAUGGAGGGGGAUAACUACUGGAAGCGGUAGCUAAUACCGCAUACCAUCAGAUGUGCCCAGAUGGGAUUAGCUUGUUGGUGGGGUAACGGCUCACCAAGGCGACGAUCCCUAGCUGGUCUGAGAGGAUGAACAAGAAACUUGGAACUGGGACACGGUCAAGAGUCCUAAGUGAGGCAGGAGUGGGAAAUAUUGCACAAUGAGCGCAAGCCUGAUGCAGCAACUCCGCGUGUAUGAAGACGGCCUUCGGGUUGGAAAGUACUUUCUGCGGGGAGGCGUUACCCGCAGAAGAAGCACCGGCUAACUCCGUGCCAGCAGCCGCGGUAAUUC
rnacentral:rRNA from 1 species